GACGAACGCUGGCGGCGUGCCUAAUACAUGCAAGUAGAACGCAGUUGCGAACGGGUGAGUAACGCGUAGGUAACUGCCUCAGAGCGGGGGCUAAAUAUUGGAAACGAUAGCUAAUACCGCAUACUGUGCGAUGGACCUGCGUCGUAUUAGCGGGUUGGUGAGGUAAAGGCUCACCAAGGCGACGAUACAUAGCCGACCUGAGAGGGUGAGCGGCCACGCUGGUACUGAGACACGGCCCAGACUCCUACGGGAGGCAGCAGUAGGGAUGCUUCGGCAAUGGACGGAAGUCUGACCGUGCAACGCCGCGUGAGCGAAGAAGGUUUUCGGAUCGUAAAGCUCUGUUGGUAGAGAAGCGGUAUCUAGCCAGAAAGGGACGGCUAACGACGUGCCAGCAGCCGCGGUAAUUC
rnacentral:rRNA from 1 species